AUGAAAUUUUGUUCUGAGAAAGAGGGAGGGAAUGCGAGACCAAAUGCGAUGAUGCAAGAUUUUCGUAAUUGUUUGGGAAAUUGUGGACUAGCAGAUAUGGGAUGUAUGGGUGACUUAUUUACAUGGAGGAGGGGCGAAAUCAGGGAAAGACUGGGUCGAGCGGUCUGUAAUGUGGAUUGGGCGAAUAAAUUCCCUCGAGUGGCGAUUAUAAACGAAGAGCAUGUACACCCAGACCACCGCCCUAUUAUUUUAGACACGGAGUAUUUUGAUGAUAAUAUUUUUGACCGCUCAAAAACUCAAAGGAAACAAUUUGAAGCUCGAUGGAAGUUGUACGUACAAGUUGGGAAAAAGCGAAGAUGUUGGGCAUAG
rnacentral:rRNA from 1 species